CCUGUCCGGCGCUCGACGUUCCACCCCAGUCUCUCUGCUUUCAGGUUGGUUCAUCCCCCGUCUACACUGGGGUGGUGCUUUGCCGGCGCCAGACCGACCCUCGACUUCGGAGAGGUAGCGCGGUACCUUUGGGUGCUUCCGCCGCCGCUUCUCCGGCUGCUUCUGCCUCCUCGGCCUCCUCGCCCGCCGCGGGAACCCGAGACCCCAGUGUAUGCCCCACCCCUAACACCGUUCGCGAUAUGUCCACCCCGGCUCGCCGGCGCCUCAUGCGGGGCUUCAAGAGGUUGCAGGAGGAUCCUCCAGCCGGAGUCAGCGGGGCUCCGUCCGAGAACAACAUAAUGGUGUGGAACGCGGUCAUUUUGGGGCCUGAAGGGACCCCAUUUGAGGAUGGAACAUUUAAACUUACAACAGAAUUCACUGAAGAAUAUCCAAAUAAGCCACCUACACUUAGAUUUGUCUCUAAGAUGUUCCAUCCAAAUGUCUAUGCAGAUGGUAGUAUAUGUCUGGAUAUACUUCAGAACCGUUGGAGUCCAACCUGUGAUGUGUCUUCGAUUCUAACAUCCAUACAGUCUCUAUUGGAUGAACCCAAUCCCGAUAGUCCAGCAAACAACCAGGCUGCGCAGCUGUACCAGGAGAACAAUCGGGAAUAUGAAAAGCGUGUUUCUGCAAUAGUAGAACAAAGCUGGCGUGAUUGUUGACCCCGGGUACAGUUAAAGAAGAAGCUGGCCAUAAGAAAAAUAUAUAUUGAUGUGUUUGUCACCUCCCUACUCUUGUCAUUACAUUUACUUUAUUAAAAGCAAAAUAGCUGUUAAAAAAAAAAA